AAGUCGUAACAAGGUUUCCGUAGGUGAACCUGCGGAAGGAUCAUUAGAGAAUUAAAAAAUACAUAUGUAAAAUUAUGUAACACUGUGAACUAGAACCACAAUUUUUUAGACGCUAUAUGUCAAGAAUGUUGUCAUACACAAAAAAAAGUUUUAAAACAA
rnacentral:misc_RNA from 1 species